UUUUGCUUUAUAACCUGAUGUUCAUCUUCAGUCCUAUUAUGUUUUGCUUUCAUACAACCAGAGAUAAAACACAGGACCAUACAUUAGUUUUUAUGACAGAGAGAUAGGAACUAAAAUCUGAAAUCUAUACAUGCCUUGUUCAGAACAAAGUGAAAAUAACAACAUACCACCAGGUGGUACCUUCCACUACAAAGACAACAACGGGAAUCUAAAGGCAGAUAUCGAGGUUGGAACAAGCAAACCAUGAUAUCGAGGUUGGAACAAGCAAACCAUCAAACAAUUGUAACAACGAAUUAGAAGUAACCGUCACAGGAGACUUGCUGCCCAGACAUGUCUUGUGAUGGUAAAUUGCAGGGGCAGCUUUAGAGCUUGCAACAUGAGGGCAAAAAAUGUGGGAAUAGGGAAUCACCAUUAGAUAGUCAUCAUCCUGUAGAGGAAAGUCAAGGAUAAAAUAAUUGUUUUACGAAAGGAUAUGCAUGCAAGAGUAUUGUUGUUGUAAAACUACUGAAACUACUCCAUAGAAUUUACAGAAUUAAGAUGAUCUCCUGGAGUAGUUCAAGCAAUACUGGAGUAGUUCAAAAUACUGAAUCUUGGUGCAGCACUAAGCAUGAGAUACAAUACUCCAAAAAAUUAACACAAUCAAGAAAGUAUAAAUGCAAGUUAACAAUCUAACAAGGCAGGUUUCAGUACUGCACCAAGUCAAAAUCUACCGCAAUCUUUAAGCUACUGAAUAUUACAAAACAGAAAUGAAGUUCCAUUUUAAGCUACUGCAAUCUUUCUCUUAAAUCUACUCAUGCAUCUGUGGAACUUAGCAGUACUCAUUUAAGAAUGGAGUAAAUUAACUUGGCAGUAUGCAAACUUUGAGUAAGUUGACUUGGCAUUAUAUUGAAAUUCCACUACAGUCUUUAAACUACUGUAACCAGUCGGAAAUCUACUGGAACCCCCCCAAAAAAAUUCAUCAUUUGUACUGAGUACCUUGCGGAUGGCGUUGCAGCCGGCGAGGACCUCCUCGAUGUGCGUGCACUUCAUCGCCGGCAUAUUCUUGUCAUCCUCGUUGGCUUCCUCGAGCUUGGUCUUGGCCUUGCUGGCGGCACCGGGCUUGGACUUGGGCUCCCACUUCCACUUGUGAUCAAAGCUAACGUUGUUGGGGGGAGGCGAGCUCCGCCUCCCACUUGAGAGCCCAGCCCCACCGUGCGGCUUCUCCUCGGCCGUCCACUUCACCUUGCAGCCCCCCGGGGAGGCGGCGGCGUAGGUGUACUUGCGGUGAGCUGAGUGUGCGCCUUGGUGCGAAGGUGCCGGUCCAAACGUUGUAAUUAAGCAGGUAAUGGUCAAGUUAGUAGGAAGGUGUGAGAAACUGUUUACAUCUAAAAAAUCAAAGUAACAAUCCAUGAUAGAUGAGCUUACUAUAUCACAAACAACAAAAUAAACUCAAUGCAAGGUAAGCAAGCCAUAGUCGAUCCACAUGAUAAUUGAUUUGCAUGGUCACGACAAAAGCAGGAAGAGAAUUGGCAGUGAACUGGACACUAAAACUGAACAUUUUUGUUUCAUACACAUAAACGAUUAAUUUCACAAGGGAAUGAAAUGUUCCAGCACAUGGGUGUUACAUGACACACACGCACGCACGCACGCGUGUGCGCGCGCGCGCACACACAGCCGCUCGGCCAUGGCCAGCACUCAGCAGUAGCAGCGACGGGCCAGUAGUGCAUGGAGCAGCAACAACAGGAGGAGCAGCAGCUAGCGGCAGCAGGAAACAUCAGUAGCAGCGCCUAGCAGAACAGCAGAGCAGCUGCAGGCAAGGCAACCAGCAGCGGCGCAGCAGCCAACGGCAGCAGCAGACGCACGCAACAAAAGGAGCACGAGGACAUGGGGAGGGGGGGAUCUGGUGGUGGCUACAAUCUCCUGGGUUAAACAAUGUACAGUCAUCCAACACACAACACUUCAAUCAUUUACAAACCUUCUCAACCUAAGACCCAACGGCAGCUCACCUUGCCUCAUGUUGAGUCUCAAGGAGGGUGUCAAGGAGGCGAGGCACCCCAAUCGCAACAGGGCGAAUCAGAGGCAACCCAUCUUAACUCGCCGUCUUGGUCCUCCUUCAGGCAACCGUCAACGGACAAACCAAUAAAUGUUCAUUUGAUGAAAAUGCCCUUCUUCUUUCAGUUCAUUGUACCUUGCAUCUGG
rnacentral:lncRNA from 1 species